AAAUCUGAAACGCAACUUUGGUGGUGUUUGUGAAUUCUAGCGUUUUCUCUCGUCGCAUCUUCUUCUUUUCAUCUUUGACCCCAAAACUUUGCAAAUCUGCUACAGCUUGGAAGCUUUCUGGGAAGUUCUAUUUUUGAAGUUCAUAGCACCAACAGCUUCUUAGUGUAGGGGGUGUUUUGUUAACUCUGACAGAAAAGUUGCCCUCCUUGUAAGCAAAACAUAUAGCCUAGGCAUUGGCAAAUCGCUCAGAUCUUGGAGAAUUUCUUCGGAAUUUAGAAACUUGUUCACUACAAACAUUGAAUGAUAAGGAUACACGACAGGCAUGGAGUGCAACAAGGACGAGGCGGCAAGGGCAAAAGAUAUUGCAGAGAUGAAGUUCAAAAUGAAAGACAUUUCUGGGGCAAAGAAAUUUGCCUUGAAAGCACAGAGUCUGUAUCCAGAGAUAGAAGGUAUUUCUCAGAUGUUAGCAACUUUGGAUGUGUAUAUCGCUGCAGAUAACAAAGUAAAAGAGGAUGUCGACUGGUAUGGAAUACUCAAUGCAAGUCCGCACGAUAAUUAUGAAACGUUGAAGACCAAGUACAGGAAGCUUGCUCUAAUGAUUCACCCCGAUAAAAACAAUUCUGUUGGAGCUGAAGGAGCAUUCAAGCAUGUUUCUGAAGCUUGGAAAUUCUUGUCAGAUAAGGAUCAGAGAGCAGCUUAUGAUCGUAGGAAAAGUUUGCACUCAGUUUAUCAGAAGGUCUCAGUUUCAUCUUCUAAUAAUGGUUUCUGCAAUUUUGCAAAGACUACUUUCACUACAAAUGCGAGGACGACGGCCCAGAGGAACAAUCCGCUGGCCCAGAAGAAGAAUCCGCCGGCCCAGAAGAGCAAUCUGCCAACCCAGAAGAACCAUCCGCAAAAGCCAGUUGGUGAUACACAGAAAACAGGACAGACUGAUCAUCAGACAACAAAACCGAGCUCAUGUACUGCAUCCGGGUCAUCAGAACAAUCAAAGCCAGAUACUUUUUGGACAGUCUGCAGGAGAUGCAUGAUGCAGUACGAGUAUCUAAGAGUUUAUGUCAACUGUAGCCUUCGGUGUCCUAAUUGUCUACAAUCGUAUUUGGCAGUAGAAGUCCCUAAACCAGGUAUAUCAAGCCGUUGGAGUAGUUUCAGCCGUCUAAAGCGAAACCUGGAUCCAAAGUCAGCUGCAAACCACAAUACUACUUCAGGUUUGUUUAAUAGCUCCAAGUGGACUUUUUCAAGAACCAGCAAUGCAGCUCAUGCUGCAAGUGUGGUUCAACAGGCUUAUGAUAAGGUAAAGAAAGAACGCGAGCAAGCGAAAGCAACUGCGAUAAGAGAAAAGAAGAAUGCCAAAAGGAAGAGCACAACUGAUUCUUCUGCUUCUGGUAGUUCGGUUAAAAAGAGGAAAGUGCGUGGAGAAACUGAUAUCUGUUGCUCUAGUGGAAGAAAUGUCACUUACCAUGUGACUGGUGAAACCGGAAACAACAUGGGGAAGUUAGAACAUGGAACGAAAGGGAGAGAGGACAAGUUGCCUCCUAGAAGAACCCAGAGAAAGACUGGCAAGGUGGAUGUAACAAGAGAAGUAAAGCCGUGUUAGCAUUCUGACUUGGUUGAGGGAAGUUUGAGUUAUGCAGGCAUAAUUGUGAUUGAUAGAUUCUCCAGGCUAUAACCAGUCAGUAGGAUAUCUUCUCAACGAUGACUCUUAAGCAAAUGCUCUGUUUAAGUGCUCAAAAAGAUUGCUACGCUUUCUCCAAUAACGAGUUGCUUCGAGGAAUCAGACGUGUUCAUUCAUGUCUAGCACGAACAAAUCAACUAGGAUGCGGACUGACUGCAAACUCGUUCUGCAUCUGGUUAACCAAGACAGGUCUCACACCUUCAUGCUCCAGAUAGUAGACGAGGGGACUCUGAAAUACGUAAUAGCUUGUUCGCCCGCCCGCACUGCCUCCAUGACCUCCACAAAGAACAAGACGGAUCAAAUGCUUAAGCUUCUCUGAACUCAUCCCACCGGCUGAAUGAAUACGAGCCUACCACCCGAGGUUUAGCAAAAUGCUCAAGUCUACAACCAUUUUCUUUGUUCGUUUUAAUUGACUGUCGUUUUGAUCUGUCAUACAAAACUCAAAUCUUAUUUCACACCAAUCAAAUUUAUCUGUCAUCAAUAUACAUUGAUACAAAACUACUGACUAGACUAGAUAGAGGUUAAUACUGCAUUUUUUU